CAUAGGUGGCAGCAUCAUAUUCACUCAUCUGAAUCUCCUUUAGCCUGAAACCAGAGAGAUAAAAGACAGCACCUUACAUCACAUCCACUUCCUAGCACAUGCCUGGCACACCGUGGCACUUAAUAAAUGUCAUUGGGCAACGCUUUGAAAACACUAUCUAAAGGAUGUGGAAGCGCAGCACGUAAUGCAAUACCAGAUGUUCUACGUGGGAGAAUUUCAUAACUCCAUGCACUAACUGUACCCGGCUCCUUUCACGGAGCACAAACAUGUAAAUCUGCUUUGCAAGCCAUCACUAAGUCUCCCGGUCUGAAAGAAGAUACUGCUGGUUCUUUGGCAUUUUUCACUUUUAGAUGAAGAACACAUGGAGAUGUCUGGUAAAAGCAUCCUGUGGAUUCGUCUCGUUUUAAGAUGGGGCCAAAGUGACCCAGAACAGCUGUGGGAACAUCUGAGUACCAC